rnacentral:rRNA from 1 species
AGCAGCCGCGGUAAUUCCAGCUCCAAUAGCGUAUAUUAAAGUUGUUGCAGUUAAAAAGCUCGUAGUUGAAUUUCGGGAUCAAGGAAUCGGUCAUGCCUCGGUAUGUACUGGUUUUAUUGGUUCUCACCUUCUAAAGAACCAUGACGUCAUUCAUUUGAUGUUAUGGGGAAUUAGGACUGUUACCUUGAAAAAUUAGAGUGUUUAAAGCAAGCUUACGCUUGAAUACAUUAGCAUGGAAUAAUGAAAUAGGACAUCCGAUUCUAUUUUGUUGGUUUCUAGGAUCGAUGUAAUGAUUAGUAGGGAUAGUUGGGGGCAUUAGUAUUCAAUUGUCAGAGGUGAAAUUCUUGGAUUUUAUUGAAGACUAACUACUGACGAAAGCAUUUGCCAAGGAUGUUUUCAUUAAUCAAGAACGAAAGUUAGGGGAUCGAAGA